UACGUAGGUGGCAAGCGUUGUCCGGAAUUACUGGGUGUAAAGGGAGCGCAGGCGGGAAGCCAAGUCAGCUGUGAAAACUACGGGCUUAACUUGUAGACUGCAGUUGAAACUGGUUUUCUUGAGUGAAGUAGAGGUUGGCGGAAUUCCGAGUGUAGCGGUGAAAUGCGUAGAUAUUCGGAGGAACACCGGUGGCGAAGGCGGCCAACUGGGCUUUAACUGACGCUGAGGCACGAAAGCGUGGGUAUCGAACAGG
rnacentral:rRNA from 1 species